UGAAAAGCCCCUUGCAGCUAUAACCCUAGGAUGGUUACAAUAAUAAAUUUUCCCCAAUUCGAAAUAACAUUAGGUUUAAAUCGAAGGUAACAAUUUAAAGUAAAAAAUACAACAUUGAACAGACGGAAAGAUGCAUUAGAACAAGAAAACUCAACGGAGAAAACUCAACACAGCAAAGACAGAAGGCAUACCUUUAUGUUCGUUCGCAAAAGAGAACCUCGGAAAAGUUGAUUUCAGAGAGCACAUAGUUAAUGUGUUGUUUUGCCAUAGAAUUGAAGGAGCAUCCUCACCAAUCGAAGUCAAAAACACGCGCAACUGAAGAAGGGAAGCAAAGGUGAUACCUUUUUGGAUAACCACAAGGGGAAAUGACAGGUUUGCCCCUGGAAUAUCUCGAGCUUUACGAUUUCCGAAAAGUCUGUUGGUAUCCAAGGUUGCUGUUGUAAUUGACCAGAGUGUGCUGCUUCGCUGGUUGGAGCAGCGUUUGGUGUCGCUGUUGUUGUUUCGCCGAAGCAGAAGGAGGAGAGUAAAGGAGGGGAGAGGGAGGCGCUUCCUAUUCCUCGCUGGCUGCUUCUCUCGCGGUUGCUGCUUGUUGUUGUUUCCCGCCGGAGAAGAGGAAAGGAGCAGGCGAGGGGAGAGAAAGAGGAGAAGCCGGCUGCGCCGCGUUCGUUGGUCGGAUAAGGGAGCAGCGAAAGAGGAGAGCAGAGGGGAACGGAGGAGGCGGCGGCUGGGCGCCGGUCGUGGAUGGGUGGCGGUGAGCGCCGAUCGGAG
rnacentral:misc_RNA from 1 species